CUACUCCCAAAUCCCAUCCUGCCUCCGCCCCAGCAGCACACUGUGGUUUGUUCAGUGUUGUGGCCAAGUCCAAACCACACUGUGGUGUUAGAGUGAGGGUAAGGAAGGCAUCACUGCCACCACCACAGCUUGGACCUGGAGCAGGACACC
rnacentral:pre_miRNA from 1 species